rnacentral:rRNA from 1 species
CAUGCAAGUCGAACGGUAGCACAGAAGAGCUUGUUGGGGUGACGAGUGGCGGACGGGUGAGUAAUGUCUGGGAAACUGCCCGAUGGAGGGGGAUAACUACUGGAAACGGUAGCUAAUACCGCAUAAUGUCGCAAGACCAAAGAGGGGGACCUUCGGGCCUCUUGCCAUCGGAUGUGCCCAGAUGGGAUUAGCUUGUAGGUGGGGUAACGGCUCACCUAGGCGACGAUCCCUAGCUGGUCUGAGAGGAUGACCAGCCACACUGGAACUGAGACACGGUCCAGACUCCUACGGGAGGCAGCAGUGGGGAAUAUUGCACAAUGGGCGCAAGCCUGAUGCAGCCAUGCCGCGUGUAUGAAGAAGGCCUUCGGGUUGUAAAGUACUUUCAGCGAGGAGGAAGGCGUUGUGGUUAAUAACCACAGCGAUUGACGUUACUCGCAGAAGAAGCACCGGCUAACUCCGUGCCAGCAG